GUUAGAUCCAUACUGACAAAUAGUGACGCAUUCUAGCACACUGUUACAGUUACAGUGUUACACACUGUGAGAUCCAUUCUGACAAAUAGUGACGCAUUCUAGCACACUGUUAGUUCUCUGCCGCACAAUGUUAGUUCUUAAAAAACUGUUAAGUAAUAAAGCAGCCAAACUCAACAAUGGCCACAAGCCAAUUGCAAUUACUGGAUCAUAUAUUAAACAUGUUAAGUGCAAAAU